GAUGAACGCUGGCGGCGUGCCUAAUACAUGCAAGUCGAGCGAACAGACGGGGAGCUUGCUCCUCUGACGUUAGCGGCGGACGGGUGAGUAACACGUGGAUAGCCUACCUAUAAGACUGGGAUAACUUCGGGAAACCGGAGCUAAUACUGGAUAAUAUAUUGAACCGCAUGGUUCAAUAGUGAAAGACGGUUUUGCUGUCACUUAUAGAUGGAUCCGCGUCGCAUUAGCUAGUUGGUAAGGUAACGGCUUACCAAGGCAACGAUGCGUAGCCGACCUGAGAGGGUGAUCGGCCACACUGGAACUGAGACACGGUCCAGACUCCUACGGGAGGCAGCAGUAGGGAAUCUUCCGCAAUGGGCGAAAGCCUGACGGAGCAACGCCGCGUGAGUGAUGAAGGUCUUCGGAUCGUAAAACUCUGUUAUUAGGGAAGAACAAAUGUGUAAGUAACUAUGCACGUCUUGACGGUACCUAAUCAGAAAGCCACGGCUAACUACGUG
rnacentral:rRNA from 1 species